CUUGGUCAUUUAGAGGAAGUAAAAGUCGUAAUGCUCGCUGAUGAGGUGAACCAGCGGAGGGAUCAUUAAAGAGUUGCAAAACUCCCAAACCAUUGUGAACAUACCUUCAACGUUGCUUCGGCGGGUUGGCCCCGGUCUCCGGGGUAUGCUCCCCUACUCGGGCGCCCGCCGGAGGUAUCUAACUCUUGAACUUUUAUGGCCUCUCUGAGUCUUUGUACUUAAUAAGUCAAAACUUUCAACAACGGAUGGCCUCGUAGUAGUCGCUGUAAGUGCUCGUGAUCAGUAUUCUGGCGGGCAUGCCUGUUCGAGCGUCAUUUCAACCAUCAAGCCCCCGGCUUGUGUUGGGGACCUGCGGCUGCCGCAGGCCCUGAAAACCAGUGGCGGGCUCGCUAGUCACUCCGAGCGUAGUAAUACAUCUCGCUCAGGGCGUGCUGCGGGUUCCGGCCGUUAAAAAAUGCUCGCUGAUCAAGGUUGACCUCGGAUCAGGUAGGAAGACCCGCUGAACUUAAGCAUAUCAAUAAGCGGAGGAAUGUCGCUGAUAGUGCUCGUGUAGAUGCUCAAUGCUCGCUGAUGAUGC
rnacentral:rRNA from 1 species